GCUAACUCAGCCUGAAGCUCACUGACUUGUUUCUGCAGAUGGCAAACCACGCCGGCGCAGCCGUAGACAGGAUCCCUGAUUCUGGAAUUUGCUUCAUAAACCAUGCUGGUCACUGCGUCUGCCCUUUGAGGUUCCGGCAAUUCCUGAAUAUUUUUUAAUGGCAUAAUAUCGGUUAUUUAAAGCUAGCUAGCGCGUCGAAUUGAUUUCUGGAAAUCAACGCUAAUAAUUUGUAUUAAAAAAAUAUUUUUAAAUUGGUUUAGGACAUCAGAUAGAAGUAUAGUGUUGAUUUCAGUUUUCACAUGGAAGUAAACAAGUGCAUAUAUAUAUGUGUAUAUAUACCUGCAAGAACUUGAUGAUAUUGCUAGCACCAAAGACUCUAUGAGCUAUGACGAACUUUUGUGGUUCAGUUGGAGGAAAAUAUGGAGCUAAAACACAUUUCUCGACGCAUCUGCGGCGGAGGAUUUUGCAAGCAGCACAGGGGCUAAGAACUAUAGACGGCGGCGACGGUGGGGUAGCAAAACUUGGAGAAGAUUGUGAAGAAGAAGCAUUAAUGCUUCGAGGAGAAGAAAAAGAUGGAGUGGAGUACUGUUGAGUAAUUUGCAUAUUUGUAAUUGGGGUUGCUACAAUAUUGUCUUUGCCUUCCACUUUUGAGGGAGUUGAUUAGUAGUCAGUGAGAAAGCAAAAUGCAAUAAGGAGAAGAAGAGCUGCCUUAGUUGAACAAAUUAAAGCUAAAAGCAAAGUGGAUAUAAAUAGAGAAAACUAAUAAAGCAAAGAAUGGGAAGG
rnacentral:lncRNA from 1 species